rnacentral:lncRNA from 1 species
CGUGGUCGCGAAAUCAAGCGGGGGAGUAGGGGGAAAAAGGAGAGGGGAGCUCGCCUUUUAUGGUGACGCGCUCGGGCUGUCGCGGGGAGCACGGGGACGGCGGAUCCCGGUAAUGGCGGCGGCGCGGAUCACGCGCGUGACCGGCGGGGGUUUCCCCGGCGGGGAAGACGACCCCGACAGGUGGGGCCCACCUGUCGGUGGCUCACGCUGCGCGCGCAGCCUGGGCCGGCUCGGUUCGGGCGGCUCGGGCGGGACUGGGCCGGUUCGGCCCAAAACGGUCGGGCCGGUCCGGUUUUCCCCUUCUUCUUUUUUUCUUUAGCCUUUUCUUUUUUUUUUUCUGUUUUUCUUAUUUCUUUGAUAUCUUUUGAUUUUGAACUCCAAAUUGGUCCAAAUAAAUCCCAGAGAAUUUGAAAAAUCAUGCUCUACCAUGAUACAACUUUUGGAAGUAGUUUCUCUUCAAAAUAAAGUAUAUAAAAAUACAUUUGCCCUAUAAAUGCCUUUAGGGCCAUAUAUCUAUUUAAAUAAAAUAUUUUUUCAACUCCAAAUAAUUACCCAAAAUUAUGGGAUAGCUUAUAUAUGCAUUAAACUCCUUUUAUACAUAAAACCUAUUGGUUUGAAAAUCCAAAGUUCAAAUGGGUGUAAACCCUAAGGUUCAAGUUGAAAUUAAAACUUUUAAAGCCUUUUUGAAUUCAAAAUUUGGAUUCAAACAUGCAAUUGUGGCAUGAUGCUCAUGGCUGCAAUGCAUAUGUAAAAGUUUGAAAUUUUGGGAUGUUACAACUUUGGGCCGACCCGGCCCAUUCCUCACGCACGCGCGCGCGCCGCCCCGCCCAGCAGCGCCCCACGCCGCGCCCGCACCCGCUGAC